UACGGAGGGUGCAAGCGUUAUCCGGAUUUACUGGGUUUAAAGGGUGUGUAGGCGGGUCUUUAAGUCAGUGGUGAAAUCUCCGAGUUCAACUUGGAAACUGCCAUUGAUACUAUUGAUCUUGAAUUUUGUUGAGGUAGGCGGAAUAAGUCAUGUAGCGGUGAAAUGCAUAGAUAUGACUUAGAACACCAAUUGCGAAGGCAGCUUGCUAAACAAAUAUUGACGCUGAGGCAUGAAAGCGUGGGGAUCAAACAGG
rnacentral:rRNA from 1 species